UACGUAGGGCGCAAGCGUUAUCCGGAAUUAUUGGGCGUAAAGAGCUCGUAGGCGGCUUGUCGCGUCGAAUGUGAAAACCCACGGCUCAACUGUGGGCUUGCAUUCGAUACGGGCAGGCUAGAGUUCGGUAGGGGAGUCUGGAAUUCCUGGUGUAGCGGUGAAAUGACGCAGAUAUCAGGAGGAACACCGGUGGCGAAGGCGGGACUCUGGGCCGAUACUGACGCUGAGGAGCGAAAGCGUGGGGAGCAAACAGG
rnacentral:rRNA from 1 species